UUUGACCUUUUUUGCUUGCCAAAAUUUCUUUCCUGCACCUCUCCCUCUUCUCUCCUAGUGGCUCUGAUGCAUACCAGAUUCAUUUUCCAGGAUUACAUGAAUCUGUUUAAUAACUGAUCAGGGCUUCAGAAGCACAAUUCAGAUUAAAACAAUAGGAAUCUACCUCUAAGAUCAGUUCAUUCACCAUUAAUUGUCAAUUUUAUCCAGCAAAGGUAAGUCUCAAUGGACCAGCUCUAAGGAUGUGGCCAGUUUUUUGGUUUUUUUUGUCUGUAAAAGUAACAGAGAAUCCUUGAAAAAUUAAUAUUCUCCUUCUUAUCCUUUAUGUGAUAAAAUCCAAUAUAGUGAAGAAGUGAAUCAAGUCUGUGAGCCAGCAGAGUAAGGCUAAGCUAUUGACUAUGGAAAGUGAUUUGAAAUAUUCCACCAAGCCCUAUCAAAUGGAUGGUAACUGCAAGAGGAUAAGCCCAUGAUAGAUAAGGUAUGGUACUCUAUAAGGAAGCCUGGGCAUACAAGUUCUGAUUGUAAUUAAAAAAAAAA
rnacentral:lncRNA from 1 species